rnacentral:rRNA from 1 species
CAGUCGCCGCGGUAAUGCGAAGGGUGCAAGCGUUAAUCGGAAUUACUGGGCGUAAAGCGUGCGUAGGCGGUUUGUUAAGUCUGUUGUGAAAUCCCCGGGCUCAACCUGGGAAUGGCAGUGGAUACUGGCUCGCUAGAGUGUGUCAGAGGAUGGUGGAAUUCCCGGUGUAGCGGUGAAAUGCGUAGAGAUCGGGAGGAACAUCAGUGGCGAAGGCGGCCAUCUGGGACAACACUGACGCUGAGGCACGAAAGCGUGGGGAGCAAACAGGAUUAGAGACCCCGGUAGUCCCUGUCUCUUAUAC